CGGCGAGUGAAGCGGCAACAGCUCAAAUUUGAAAUCUGGCUUCGGCCCGAGUUGUAAUUUGCAGAGGAUGUUUCUGGCGCGGUGCCUUCCGAGUUCCCUGGAACGGGACGCCACAGAGGGUGAGAGCCCCGUAUGGUCGGACACCAAGCCUGUGUGAAACUCCUUCAACGAGUCGAGUAGUUUGGGAAUGCUGCUCUAAAUGGGAGGUAAAUCUCUUCUAAAGCUAAAUACCGGCCAGAGACCGAUAGCGCACAAGUAGAGUGAUCGAAAGAUGAAAAGCACCUUGAAAAGGGGGUUAAAUAGUACGUGAAAUUGUUGAAAGGGAAGCACUUAUGACCAGACUUGGGCCGGGCGGCUCAUCAGGGGUUCUCCCCUGUGCACUCCGCCCGGCACAGGCCAGCAUCGGUUUUCGCGGGGGGAUAAGACCGACGGGAACGUAGCACCCUCCGGGGUGUGUUAUAGCCCGGCGGACGAUACCCUCGCGGGGACCGAGGUCCGCGCUCCGCAAGGAUGCUGGCGUAAUGGUCAUCAGUGACCCGUCUUGAAACAC
rnacentral:rRNA from 1 species